GGAUCAUUACCGAGUGCGGGCCCUCCUCCCUCUUGGGGGGAAGGCCCAUCCUCCCAUCCGUGUCUACUGUACCAUGUUGCUUCGGCGGGCCCGCUAAUUUUUUAGCCGCCUGGGGGGAAGCUUAUUAUUAGCAUCUCCAACGGCCCGUGCCUGCCGAAGGUUUCUUCAAAAAGAACAUUCUGUUUUUGAAAAGGUUGCUGUCUGAGUUAGAUGACUAUAUAGAAAAAAAAAUCAUCAAAACUUUCAACAACGGAUCUCUUGGUUCCGGCAUCGAUGAAGAACGCAGCGAAAUGCGAUAAGUAAUGUGAAUUGCAGAAUUCCGUGAAUCAUCGAGUCUUUGAACGCACAUUGCGCCCCCUGGUAUUCCGGGGGGCAUGCCUGUCCGAGCGUCAUUGCUGCUAACUCAAGCACGGCUUGUGUGUUGGGUCAUCAUCCCCUCUCUUUUCUAGAGGGAAUGGGCCUGAAAGGCAGUGGCGGCACCGUGUCUGGUUCUCGAGCAUUAUGGGGCUUUGUCACCUGCUCUUGAGGAAGCCAGCCGAUGCCUUUGGCCUAAACUAUAUCAACCAUUUUUUCCAGGUUGACC
rnacentral:rRNA from 1 species